ACACAACUUCGUCUUGAUACUUACCGAUAGAAAAGGCGAUGUGCACUUGUUGAGUAACCCUAAAUUGGCCUUUGUUGCUAAGCCCUUGUAGUUGAUAAGGUUGUGGAUGCUUGGUAGUGGUUAAGCAAAGCUUUUCCACCAUCGUCGUGCUGGCUAUGUUCGAGCAACUUUCACCAUCAAUAAUAACUCUACAAAGCUUACCUUGUACAUGGCAACGAGUAUGAAAGAGAUGUUCUCGUUGCUGCUCGCUCUUUGGUUUUGCCAAAGAUGAUUAUCCACGAUCAGGAAAAUCAUCAUCCAUUCUAGUGACACGUCGAGGGCCGCGCCUCUGGGGUUGGUUAUCCCUAUCUUCUUUGAUUGGAUCUCGAUAUUGAGGUUCUUGAUUCAAUCGCACCUCAUUGAUGGUAGCAGUGAAAGCUCGAAGAGCAGCAGCCUGUUCAUCCAACUGUUGUCGGAAUUUUUUAAAUAUGUUACUAUUAUUAUCACCUGUAGACAUUUUUUUUAAAACCUGCAAAACACUCAACACUCAAAAAUAAAAGUUAUAAAACCUCACCAUUAAUCACUCAAAAAGAAAAAAUCAAAUUCUCAAUGAGGUCGAAUUCAAUCUUGUGAGUUCUUUAUCAGAGUUUAUAUCAACCAAUUAGAGAGUGUGAACCAAACUACCAAAGAAUCCUAAUUUGCACUAGGAUGCCAAAAACUGACGAGACUCCAAUUGAUUCGUGUUGCACCGAGGAAGAAGUUGUGCACACGUUUAAAUCCUACUAACACAAGAAACAAGAAGGUGUUAGAUAACGUAAAGGAAGAAUAAAGGUAAACAAAUGAAAACCUACAGCUAAGAAUCAAUAAAAAUUGCUGAAAACAGAAAACCCGAAAAACUACGGAGUAACUUGACAACUUCGUUCGAGGUGUUCCCGAUCUCCAAAAAUCACGAAAUUAAAUCUUGAGUGUCCUUAUAUAUUGAAUUUUUGAUCUGGAAAUUUUGGGCACCAAAUUCAACCCUCUGAAUCUUUUUUAAAUUUUUUUUGAAUUUCGUAUUUUUUGAUUUUUUUGACUUUUUUGACUGAUUUUUUUGUGGAAUAAUUUUUUUAUAUUCAAUCACAGUGCAAAAAACAUGUAUGUAAAAUUUUAGAUCAAUCGGAAAACGUUUACCCACUCAAAUGAAUUUUUUUUGAACAAUUUUUCUGGGUAAAACUGCUGUUUAUGCUUUAAAAAAUAGAGAUCAGUUUAGAAAUCAACCAAGAACACCCAAAACGCCCAAAAUCUGAUACCAAAUGAUAUAGAGUUGCGAGCGGACCAAGAUCGAGUUGCCAAGUCACGGGAAACUCCUACGAAAGCUCUAAACGAACAUAUCUGAAAUCAAACAAAGAACGAGAUUAAAUCUGGAAAAUUAAAAUCUGGAAUAAGAACCCUAAAAAUCAGCAAGAUCUAAUCAAGGAACGAAACACUUAUGACAGAGGUUUCUUGAAACCAAGAACACGAAAUUGAUUCCCAAGAAUGAACUCCUACAAGCCGAAUCUGUCAAAGAACACCAAAUCAGCAAGCAAAUUAGAUCGACCAGAAUUUCUUGAAACAAAUUAGGGUUUAUGCGUCAAUGAGAAAGAAAGAAAUUGAAGGCAUAAAACGGCUAUUGAGGCUGAGAAAGCGAGGGCGAUCUGCUCAAUUGACCACCACGAAAGUUUCCCCUAAGUUUCCACAACCAAAUUCACCCAAGAAGAAUAAGUGUGCAUUCGGCAAGAACCCUAGAAUUUGGGGAUUUAGGGCUGAUUGUCGAACUCCAGCAAAAAGCGAAAUUGAUCAAUUCUUUAAGAUAAACGAGGGCUGGAAACACAAAUAAAACAGCAAAUAGAUUAGAAUUAAGAUUCGGCACAAGUAGAAUUAAAUAAAAGAAAUUGAACAGCAAAAAUUAAAGGAGAAGUCCUAAAGAUCCUUGAAAUCCCGAAAGAUUUCACAAAUCUCUUCAAACGGCUCUAAUCUCCCCUCCAAAGAAUAUCGAUGGCAAGAAGAAGGUUGAAGAUGGCUCCCACAAUCAAAAGAUUGUUAAAACAACUUCUAAAGAAAGCUCAAGAGAGAAUUCUUGGAGAAAACCCCAAAGAAAAUUCUGCACUCUAACAAACUGAAAUUUAAUGUAUUGAAUGAUAAUAAGAUGUUUUUACAAAGGGUGGCUGGCCAAUGCUUAUAUAGGCCUCCAACAAAUCCUAAUCUCACAAGUAACUAAUAAAAAAUUAAACCUAAUUAAUAAAAUAACAAGGUAAAUUCGGCCAUGCACUUAUAUGGGCUGUUUUGGGCCGAAUUUUACAUGUAAUGCUCCUAAAGAUUAAAAAAUUAAAUUAAACAAGCAAGAUGUUUACAAAUUGGGCCCUUUGACAUUUUGGCCUGAUUUUCAACUAAGUAUGAAGAAAUUUCUUAAUUGGGCUGGAUUUUGGUUAUUGGGCCUCGCCUUUAAGAAUUUGGGCUUGUGAUCCAUCUCCUACCGAAAUUGGGUCGUUGACGCUCGUAAUGGAGAUCCAACGCGCUUUGGCUGCAAGAUUCGGUUUCUUGGACCAAGAUUUCCAAGAUUUGAAAUCUUGAUUCUUGAUAUUGCUCCGAACAGCAAAAUUGGGCCAAGAUUCGAUUUCUUGAUUUUCUUGAAAAUAAGAAAGUGAAUCUUGAUUUUCUUGAUUUGAGCCCAUCACUUUCUUAAGCUUGGGUUGGGCCUUUGUGACUCGUAUCAAAAGUUUUAUCAAUAAUUUUCAAAUCUACACUAGACUCGGUUUCUAAAAUUUCCUUACCUCGCUUACCUUCGGGAUCAUGUAGUGUGAUUUCAUCUUUGCCUAAGUUGAUCGUAUGAAAGCGUCUUUCAUUUGAGAGGUAUUGAAGUUGAAAGUUAUCUUUCGAUCUUUCGGGAACCUGAAAAGUAGCAACACAAGAAAAAUUCAUAUCUUGGUUAGUGGAAACAUUCCUCACUACCCUUUCCACAUCUUUUUCUAAUUCAUUUUCUCUUCUUUCUUCAAUUUCUUUUUCACUCUCAAUCUCUUUUUGCUCUUUUUCAUUCUCUUUUUCUUUUUCCUCACUUGUUUUAAUAGAAUUUUUCAGUUUGAUUUGGUCCUCAUGGACUUGUUCCGGAGUGAGCGGCACUAAGGUGAGUUUCUUUCCUUGAUGCUUGAAAGAAUACCUAUUGGUACGACCAUCGUGAGUGACUUUUCGAUCCAGUUGCCAUGGUUCUCCUAGCAACAAAUGGCAGGCUUGAAUAGGCAUUACGUCGCACAUAACUUCAUCUUGAUACUUACCGAUAGAAAAGGCGAUGCGCACUUGUUGAGUGACCCUAAAUUUGCCUUCGUUGCUAAGCCCUUGUAGUUGAUAAGGUUGUGGAUGCUUGGUAGUGGUUAAGCAAAGCUUUUCCACCAUCGUCGUGCUGGCUAUGUUCGAGCAACUUUCACCAUCAAUAAUAACUCUACAAAGCUUACCUUGUACAUGGCAGCGAGUAUGAAAGAGAUGUUCUCGUUGCUGCUCGCUCUUUGGUUUUGCCAAAGAUGAUUGUCCACGAUCAUGAAAAUCAUCAUCCAUUCUAG
rnacentral:lncRNA from 1 species